rnacentral:rRNA from 1 species
GUCCACGCCCUAAACGAUGUCAACUGGUUGUUGGGAGGGUUUCUUCUCAGUAACGAAGCUAACGCGUGAAGUUGACCGCCUGGGGAGUACGGCCGCAAGGUUGAAACUCAAAAGGAAUUGACGGGGACCCGCACAAGCGGUGGAUGAUGUGGUUUAAUUCGAUGCAACGCGAAAAACCUUACCUACCCUUGACAUGUCUGGAAUCCUGAAGAGAUUUUGGAGUGCUCGAAAGAGAGCCAGAACACAGGUGCUGCAUGGCCGUCGU